rnacentral:rRNA from 1 species
GACGUAGGGCGCGAGCGUUGUCCGGAUUUAUUGGGCGUAAAGAGCUCGUAGGCGGCUUGUCGCGUCGUCUGUGAAAACCCGCGGCUCAACGGCGGGCUUGCAGUCGAUACGGGCAGGCUGGAGUUCGGUAGGGGAGACUGGAAUUCCUGGUGUAGCGGUGAAAAUGCGCAGAUAUCUGGAGGAAUACCGGUGGCGAAGGCGGCAUCCUGGACCGACGAUUGACGCUGAGGAGCGAAAGCCAGGGGAGCAAACGGGG